UUGGCAAAAGGGUAUGGAAUUGCUAUUGAGUAAGGUUUGAAGCAACGAAAACAGAAAAGGAAGGCAUCUGCUGCAGGGAAUUGGAGUAUCUUGAUGUUGCAAGAAGAUAUGGUCUUCAUCUCGUAUCUCUUGCAAUUGCAUUUGUUUUGAGGCACCCUCUUGUUGCAAGUGCUGUAUUUAGAGCUACCAAGUCAAGCCAACUUCAGGAGGUUAUAAAUGCAUGCCAGGUUGAGCUCACAGUCGAAAUUGUCGUAGAAUCAAUAGAAUCCAUUCAAACUUUCCUAAUUCGUGUCCCUGAUUUAUUUCCUUGGACAAACUUCUGUACUUAUAUAGAUGAAAAGGACAAGGCAACUCCCUUGGAAGAAGCAUAAAUAGAUCACAAUUUCCUUAUAUAGACUUCUGUACUUUUAGGCUGCUGUUUUAUCAGUUGUCAGGCCAAUUUUAAUGAAUCAUAACACAAUUUUAAUG